UGUGGCCCUUGAGCCGUGGCUUUCGGAGCUAACGCGUUAAGUAGACCGCCUGGGGAGUACGGUCGCAAGAUUAAAACUCAAAUGAAUUGACGGGGGCCCGCACAAGCGGUGGAGCAUGUGGUUUAAUUCGAUGCGACGCGAAGAACCUUACCUACUCUUGACAUCCGGAGAAGCCAGCGGAGACGCAGGUGUGCCUUCGGGAGCUCUGAGACAGGUGCUGCAUGGCUGUCGUCAGCUCGUGUUGUGAAAUGUUGGGUUAAGUCCCGCAACGAGCGCAACCCUUAUCCUUGUUUGCCAGCGAGUCAUGUCGGGAACUCCAGGGAGACUGCCGGUGAUAAACCGGAGGAAGGUGGGGACGACGUCAAGUCAUCAUGGCCCUUACGAGUAGGGCUACACACGUGCUACAAUGGCGCAUACAGAGGGCAGCAAGCUAGCGAUAGUGAGCGAAUCCCAAAAAGUGCGUCGUAGUCCGGAUUGGAGUCUGCAACUCGACUCCAUGAAGUCGGAAUCGCUAGUAAUCGUGAAUCAGAAUGUCACGGUGAAUACGUUCCCGGGCCUUGUACACACCGCCCGUCACACCAUGGGAGUGGGCUGCAAAAGAAGUGGGUAGUUUAACCUUUCGGGGAGGACGCUCACCACUUUGUGGUUCAUGACUGGGGUGAAGUCGUAACAAGGUAACC
rnacentral:rRNA from 1 species